GAGUAAUGUCUGGGAAACUGCCUGAUGGAGGGGGAUAACUACUGGAAACGGUAGCUAAUACCGCAUAACGUCGCAAGACCAAAGAGGGGGACCUUCGGGCCUCUUGCCAUCGGAUGUGCCCAGAUGGGAUUAGCUAGUAGGUGGGGUAACGGCUCACCUAGGCGACGAUCCCUAGCUGGUCUGAGAGGAUGACCAGCCACACUGGAACUGAGACACGGUCCAGACUCCUACGGGAGGCAGCAGUGGGGAAUAUUGCACAAUGGGCGCAAGCCUGAUGCAGCCAUGCCGCGUGUAUGAAGAAGGCCUUCGGGUUGUAAAGUACUUUCAGCGGGGAGGAAGGGAGUAAAGUUAAUACCUUUGCUCAUUGACGUUACCCGCAGAAGAAGCACCGGCUAACUCCGUGCCAGCAGCCGCGGUAAUACGGAGGGUGCAAGCGUUAAUCGGAAUUACUGGGCGUAAAGCGCACGCAGGCGGUUUGUUAAGUCAGAUGUGAAAUCCCCGGGCUCAACCUGGGAACUGCAUCUGAUACUGGCAAGCUUGAGUCUCGUAGAGGGGGGUAGAAUUCCAGGUGUAGCGGUGAAAUGCGUAGAGAUCUGGA
rnacentral:rRNA from 1 species